GUAAUCGCAGGUCAGCAUACUGCGGUGAAUACGUUCCCGGGUCUUGUACACACCGCCCGUCACACCAUGGGAGUCAGUAACACCCGAAGCCGGUGACCUAACCGAAAGGGAGGAGCCGUCGAAGGUGGGACCGAUAACUGGGGUGAAGUCGUAACAAGGUAGCCGUAUCGGAAGGUGCGGCUGGAUCACCUCCUUCUAAGGAA
rnacentral:rRNA from 2 species